UGAUUCUAAAGUGAAAAGCCAGUCCAUGCCAGAGCAAGCUGAUUCUUUCGUAAAGACAAGGAAUGGAUUGAUCAACUCCAGAGGGGGGGAUGUGAAUUUAUUGGAGACUGGAAGAGAUAGAAAGGGGUGCCGAGCCUGUUACAUGUGCGGCUCUUUGCAUCAUUUGAUAAGAAAUUGCCCACAUGCUUGCACACCGCGUCCUAGGCCUCAGAGAGGAAAUGCUUUCUUUGCAGAUAGUAUCUCUCCAUUUGGGAAUGCUACUCCUCUGCUCCAUGCUAGGCCUUUUGUGGAUCAAGGUGUUAAUUUUGGGAUGAUGCCCCUCAAUACAGCUGUUCCAAUGUAUAUGCCUACGAUUUAUGGUGGUUUGCCGGCCUAUGGUGGCUUUACGAGGUUGGGAAGCAUGGCACCUGUGGUGGGAGUUGGUACAGGCCCUAACCAUAGCUUUCAAGAGCUAAAUGAUAUUCACAAUCGUGAAAAACAAUGGGAACUGCCCAAGAAAUAUAUGACGAGGGAUACAUCCACUGAUUUUGGAGUUGAUGAUGGUUUUAUGAAGAGAUGUCAUCUUGUUGAUGGGGAAAGAUGUGAGAAGGAAGAUGGUUUAAGCUAUUCUGAUGACAGCUUUUCCCAGAAGCCACAGAGAAAGCAUCGGCAUGGACAUAAUCUAGACUCAGACAUCCUCUGGACUGAUGAAAGACGUGAGAAGACUUCUCACUCAUCAACUUCAGCUAGAGAUGGAAGAUUAUACCGUCAUGAAGGAAUAUCUUCUCCAGAAGCAGAAGACACACCAAGUUGCUUUAGUAGGCGAGCCAAAGAGAGGCACUAUCACCGAAAUAAAGAGUCUAGAAUGCGUAAAGAGAACAAGGCACAGUUUUUGAGUGAUUCAAGUUGGAGUCACUGUCAGGCUGAAAAAAGAAAAGAUGUCAAGAGAAAAAGAGAGGAAUCUAAUGUCAAGAGGCAUGACAGAAAACCUUGUUCUUCGGAACUUGAUUGUGCACAUAAGUCUCCUAGUGACAAGGAAAAUAGGAUGAGAGACAAGAAGUCCAGUCAUAGGCCAAGCGAGUCUAGACAUGAUGGAAGGUCAAUGAAUGGUGACCUUAUUCACAACAGAUGGAAGAUGGUCAGUGGGGAUGAGUAUAGUGGAGGCAGACCGCGACAUUACAAGCGCAAUAAAGUUCUGUAGAAGAACUAAUAUACCUGAUUAGUGAGCUUCAGUUUGGCGGCUAGGAAAGAACAAUUAAACAAGAGGAGAUGGUUUAUUUACUUAGACUUGUCAUGGCCUUAAGCCUUGUGCAACUUCUUUUUGCUUAUCAAACUGAAGCUGGUCGACAUCUUCUGUUCUUGAAAAGGAAAACAAGCAAUGCCAACAAAAUGCUAUCGGUGUUAUUCUUUCCAUUCCCGCUCCCUGCCUUCAGAGUGCCGAAUGACCUUUGGUAAGUGCAAGUCUUUGUGCUUGGGACAGUUUCAACGAUGAUCAGUUGUGUUUAUAACUGCUUUUAGGUCUGUUAAAAAAAGGAGGGUGAGAGAGAUGGGGAAUUUUUUUCUCAAGGACCAAUUCAACCAAACUUUUCUUAGCCAUUGAGAUUAGGAUUUGGAGUCUGGAUUCCUUUUAUUUUUGCCUUGUAGUGAAACCACAACGUAUCCGAAAUUCUCUUUUUGCCAGGUUGAAGAUGUUGGCAACAAAUAAUAAUCCGGAAAAUAUUCUGGUCUUGCAUUUCUAACAGUUCUACUUUUUGUAGAAAAUGAAACGGGAUACGUGAAGAGUUUUCCCUUGACCGAAGGCAUCUUGAGAUUUUUCAGGGACAUGAUGUGAGGAGGCUCUUGGGCUGUUGGUCCCUCGGUCAGCACAGCGGACAAGGGCAGCCAUAAAAAGUGAUGAUAACGGGAUGUUUAGGUGGGAGAUUCGAAGAUUCGGGAGUCGCGUCACCAAUAAGAGGGGGAAAAAAAAUCAAGGAAAAAAAUAUAAAAAAAAUUGACUUCGAAUUGACAUCCCAUACUUCGAGUUAAAAUAUAAUUCGUUAAAUUAAUAUCU